GGCGACCGGCGCACGGGUGAGUAACGCGUAUCCAACCUGCCCAUGACCGGGGGAUAACCCGCAGAAAUGCGGACUAAUACCCCAUAUUGUCCGAGACAGGCAUCUUGCUUGGACCAAAGGAUUUCCGGUCACGGAUGGGGAUGCGUCCGAUUAGCUUGUUGGCGGGGCAACGGCCCACCAAGGCUUCGAUCGGUAGGGGUUCUGAGAGGAAGGUCCCCCACAUAGGAACUGAGACACGGUCCUA
rnacentral:rRNA from 1 species